rnacentral:rRNA from 1 species
UACGGGGGGGGCAAGCGUUGUUCGGAAUCACUGGGCGUAAAGGGCGCGUAGGCGGCUCAUGAAGGCUGUGGUGAAAGUCCGGGGCUCAACCUCGGAUCGGCCGUGGCGACUCGUGGGCUGGAGCACUGUAGAGGCGGGUGGAAUUCCGGGUGUAGCGGUGGAAUGCGUAGAGAUCCGGAAGAACACCAGUGGCGAAGGCGGCCCGCUGGGCAGUGGCUGACGCUGAGGCGCGACAGCGUGGGGAGCAAACAGG